rnacentral:rRNA from 1 species
UGCUGCCGGGGUGAGAGUGGCGAACGGGUGAGUAAUGCGUGACCGACCUGCCCCAUGCACCGGAAUAGCUCCUGGAAACGGGUGGUAAUGCCGGAUGUUCCACAUGAGCGCAUGCGAGUGUGGGAAAGGCUUUUUGCGGCAUGGGAUGGGGUCGCGUCCUAUCAGCUUGUUGGUGGGGUAACGGCCUACCAAGGCGUUGACGGGUAGCCGGCCUGAGAGGGCGACCGGCCACAUUGGGACUGAGAUACGGCCCAGACUCCUACGGGAGGCAGCAGUGGGGAAUAUUGCACAAUGGGCGCAAGCCUGAUGCAGCGACGCCGCGUGCGGGAUGGAGGCCUUCGGGUUGUAAACCGCUUUUGUUCAAGGGCAAGGCACGGUUUCGGCCGUGUUGAGUGGAUUGUUCGAAUAAGCACCGGCUAACUACGUGCCAGCAGCCGCGGUAAUACGUAGGGUGCAAGCGUUAUCCGGAUUUAUUGGGCGUAAAGGGCUCGUAGGCGGUUCGUCGCGUCCGGUGUGAAAGUCCAUCGCUUAACGGUGGAUCCGCGCCGGGUACGGGCGGGCUUGAGUGCGGUAGGGGAGACUGGAAUUCCCGGUGUAACGGUGGAAUGUGUAGAUAUCGGGAAGAACACCAAUGGCGAAGGCAGGUC